AUAGAGAGAGAGAGAGAGAGAGAGAGACAAAUAAAAAGAAAAACAAGAUAGAUAUUUCUAAUUCUUACAUGAUGGCUAAUAUUUACAUGUGAUACUCCAACUCAAAAUUACGAACUUAAAUGGACAUCAGCACUUGUCCCUGAAGAUGAAGACAACUGUGUCCGAAGCUGAAGAUUUUCGCGUUUCAGCUGCGAAAUGAGCUGUUUUAAGGCGGUUAUUUCCUGUCUUAAUUUCUCAUUAUCUCGUAAACAUUGACCCAAGCCCUGAUUUGCUGCACGUAAUUCGCCUAUGUACUCACAAGCCUUUGCUAAAAUCCCUCCUUUGCUCUAACAAGUAAAUCAGAAAAGAACAUUCAUUUUUUGCAACAAUGCAAAAAAUACAUUACCAUAUUGACUAACGGAUCAGCAUAUAUCUAUCCAAUCUAUUUCCUAUUACCUGUGUUUCAUAGUUUGCCUUUCCUUCUCCACCAUUACCACUUCCUGCACUGGUAUUAGUGGUGGCAUUACAUUCUGGUAUUAUUUUUCCCAAUUUUGCAAUCCAAUUAUUAAUUUUAUCUCUACGCCGACGUUCAACUUCAUUGUGCGUUGCUCUUCUUCUAUCAUCCCUCUGAAAUAUGAUUUCCAUUUGUCCUCUGUUUAAAA